rnacentral:rRNA from 1 species
AACGAACGCUGGCGGCAUGCCUAAUACAUGCAAGUCGAACGAAGGCUUCGGCCUUUGUGUCGCCCGGCUGCGUCACGCGAGGGGAUCUGCACUUAGGUUCGGAAUAACAGUUAGAAAUGACUGCUAAUACCGGACGAUGACGUAAAUCCAAAGAUUUAUCGCCUGAGGAUGAGCCCGCGUAGGAGUAGCUUGUUGGUGUGGUAAAGGCGCACCAAGGCGACGAUCCUUAGCUGGUCUGAGAGGAUGAUCAGCCACACUGGGACUGGGACACGGCCCAGACUCCUACGGUAGGCAGCAGUGGGGAAUAUUGGACAAUGCGCGAAAGCCUGAUCCAGCAAGGCCGCGUGAGUGAUGUAGGCCUUAGGGUUGUAAAGCUCUUUUACCCGUGAUGAUAAUGACAGUAGCGGGAGAAUAAGCCCCGGCUAACUCCGU